AUAAAUCCACCAGUACUCUAGAUACAAUCUAUUUUAUCAAAAAUAAACAGUACAUGUUUCCAAAAUCCACCCAACUUAAACAAGUGGUUGGCUAAUCUUGCUAUUUUUGAACUGGUGGACAACAUAUGAGCUUUAGUGACACAGAACACUUAUGUUAAAAGAACAAUACCUCUCUCCAUUUUUCAGCCACUAAACGACCAAGAACACCAGGUCCAACAAUCAGCCGG
rnacentral:lncRNA from 1 species